rnacentral:rRNA from 1 species
CCUACGGGAGGCAGCAGUGAGGAAUAUUGGUCAAUGGGCGCAAGCCUGAACCAGCCAAGUCGCGUGAGGGAAGACGGUCCUAUGGGUUGUAAACCUCUUUUGUCGGGGAGCAACAGACGCCACGCGUGGCGUGCCGAGAGUACCCUAAGGAAAAGCCUCGGCUAACUCCCGGCCAGCAGCCGCGGUAAUUCGGAGGAUGGGAGCGGUAUCCGGAUUUAUUUGGGUUAAAGGGUGCGUAGGCGGAAGAUCAAGUCAGCGGUAAAAUUGAGGGGCUCAACCUCUGCGAGCCGUUGAAACUGGUUUUCUUGAGUGAGUGAGAAGUAUGCGGAAUGCGUGGUGUAGCGGUGAAAUGCAUAGAUAUCACGCAGAACUCCGAUUGCGAAGGCAGCAUACCGGCGCUCAACUGACGCUCAUGCACGAAAGUGUGGGUAUCGAACAGGAUUAGAUACCCUUGUAGUC